AAAACUUGACAGUCAGGGACAGAUUGAACUUGCAGGUAUCUCUAAUAGAAAACUUUGGGAAGCGUGGUCUCCUCGACCAUGCCCUGGUCAUCUUUCAAGAACUUCAGUUUCUUCCAUUCCCAAGUGCCGGACACUCGAGUUAUCGAGCAUUGGUUCGGGCUUACGUACACGCAGGAUUACCUCAUGAAGCCCACGUAUUCCUGUCGGAGAUGAAAAGGGAGGGGUUCAAAGCGUCGUUGGAUGAUUACAAGACGCUGCUGUAUGCCUACGGAAGAGACGGAUAUCUUGCAGAAAUGGAAAAGAUAGUGGAGGAGAUCAGCACUUCGGGCCUGAAAAUGGAUAAGACAGGUUACAACAUGAUGCUAUCUGCUUACGGCCAAGCCAGGAAGUUCGAUUUAGUUCUCGAAACCCUCGAGAAAAUGAGAAGAAUGAACAUCUCUUGCUCUGUCAACUCGCGAAAUGCCAUCAGCAAGUCAUGUCCCAGCAUAAGCUCCCUCUUCGCCGAGCUGGAAGCUAUGCCGGCCAACUCUGCAUCUUUGUGCAGUGAGCUGGAACUUCGGGAGGUUUCCGGAGGAGAACUGGCGGUUAUAAAAGAAUUACUUAUCCUCGGAGUACCUGCGGAUUGCGUCAAAUACUCGGAGGAUGCCUGGGAGCUGGAUUUGCAUCACAUGUUCAUGGGAACUGCCAACAUUGCUCUGUUUCUCUGGCUCCAGCAACUUAAAGCGAGGUGCAUGGGAGGUGUGAAGUUCCCUGUGGAGGUGAGGGUCGUAACUGGAUGGGGGAAGCACAGCGACGUCGAAGGCAAAUCUGUUGUCAAGCAAAACGUCGCAGAAUUUUUAGAAAGGUUAAAGUCGCCAUUCAGAGUUGACAGCCAGAACCGAGGAGUAAUGACUGCCCGUGGAAGUUCCCUGCAAGCUUGGCUGAAUGCUCUCUUUCAGUCAUGAUUUCGGCGACAUAUGGGCUCACUGACUGAAGUCAUUGCCAUCGCGGAAUCUCGAAUAGCCUUUAUUAGAGAUACCUGCAAGUUCGGUCUGUCCCUUUCUGUUAAGUUUU